rnacentral:rRNA from 1 species
CAGUCGCCGCGGGAAUACGAAGGGGGCUAGCGUUGUUCGGAUUUACUGGGCGUAAAGCGCACGUAGGCGGAUCGAUCAGUCAGGGGUGAAAUCCCAGAGCUCAACUCUGGAACUGCCUUUGAUACUGUCGAUCUGGAGUAUGGAAGAGGUGAGUGGAAUUCCGAGUGUAGAGGUGAAAUUCGUAGAUAUUCGCAGGAACACCAGUGGCGAAGGCGGCUCACUGGCUCGAUACUGACGCUGAGGUGCGAAAGCGUGGGGAGCAAACAGGAUUAGAUACCCGUGUAGUCCCUGUCUCUUAUAC